rnacentral:rRNA from 1 species
CCUACGGGUGACAGCAGUGGGGAAUAUUGGGCAAUGGAGGAAACUCUGACCCAGCAACGCCGCGUGAAUGAUGAAGGUCUUCGGAUUGUAAAGUUCUUUUCUAAGGGAAGAAGAAAGUGACGGUACCUUAGGAAUAAGCCUCGGCUAACUACGUGCCAGCAGCCGCGGUAAUACGUAGGCGGCGAGCGUUAUCCGGAAGGACUGGGCGUAAAGGGUGAGGAGGUGGGUUGGCAAGUUAGUAGCGUAACCCCAAGGCUUAACCUUGGAACGACUACUGAAACUGUUGGACUUGAGUGCAGGAGGGGCAGCCGGAAUUCCUAGUGUAGGGGUGGAAUGCGUAGAUAUUAAGAGGAACACCAGUGGCGAAGGCGGGUUGCUAGACUGUAACUGACACUGAGGCACGAAAGCGUGGGGAGCAAACAGGAUUAGAUACCCUUGUAGUC